AGCGUUCGCCGUCGGGCUGCUGAGGAUGGACGGACGGAGAACCUGUUCCAACUGCAAGAACUUUCUCGCAAGGUGUACACUGUAUGUUAGGGUUAUGGGAUAUCCCGCAAUUUGCGGUCGUAUUCUUGGCUACUCCUUAUCCGCGGUGUUCGCUCUGUGUCUGCUGGAAAUCGGUGGACGCUGGACAGGUGGUGAAAAGGCGCAGGUCAUCCAGUAGCCCACAUCUCUGAGGGUUCCACAACCACUCAAUCCCCGCGCACCAUGGCAGCAUCGACGCCGCCGUCGUGGCCAUUCGAAACCACCGAUGUCGCUAACGCUGCCUGCUGGAACUGCCUUAGGGUACACUUCUGUUUCAUUUAUUUUCCUACGUAUGCUAAAAUCUUGAACCGUAUGCUGAAAUCUUGAACUUCAUUAGGUGAAAAUGAUAUUUACCACAUCUCCAUCUAGCUUUAGCCACCUCAAUGCUGUGUCCUGGCAUGUGCUAUCUCCCUGUUAUGAUGCUGCUACCAGCAUCACACUAGCCACCUAGCUGCCUGUUCCGAGCCUUUACGCAUCUCGGUUCGCCAACGUAUGACCUAUCUGUUGUAGCCCCUCCAAACGCAGAGCGAGCGAGGUCAUUCAAUUUGAUGGAACUGUAUCAAGUAAGAAAGUUAUUUGCUUUCUAUGUUUUGUGAUUGUGAAGUCGAAAGGAACGGGAUGUAUGGGUCGGCUGAGCGCUGACGCGACAUACACUCCUAACUCAAAGUCCGCGAGCGAGUGCCUGGAUGCAUUCUCGGGGCAACUUUUCAUUUCUUUCCUGCCUGGCCGUGUAGAAUCUGGAACUAGCAUGUGGACGGAGAACCGCGUCCAGCUAGACGCUUAAGCAGGAUGGCGAAGGUAAUGCGCACGAAAGUGUUAAUAGAGUGUUAAUAGAGGCAGGGCUUAUCACAAUAAAUAUUUUACGGAACAGUUGAAACACUUCGCAACAGAGGCCUCCGCGAUUAGCAAAAUUGUACUCCUUU
rnacentral:lncRNA from 1 species